GUUGUAUUAAAAAUACUUUUAUAUUUUAACUUGUGCUCCAUUCUUUUAUUUAUUAUUUACUCUGUAGCCUUCGUUUGUAUGUACUUAUUUAUGAUCCCUGUCUUUUUUGUCGCUAUAUUUCCAUAUUAAGUUGGUAAUAAAAUAAAAUAAAAAAAAAAUCUAACUAGAGCCAAAUUCCGGUCGGCAUGAAAAAAACUUUUUUCAAAAUAAAGGUUUAACUGAACAAAAAAAAAAAUAGCUUAGCUAAGCUAGCUCGCAGCAGUCAACUAUAGUUAGCUAGCUAAUACGCCUAUUUAUAUUUACUAAUUUAUUUAUAAUUUUAGAAAUAAUUACUUAUUAUAUGUUACAUGUAUUUAUCCGCUAUUAUGUGCUAAAUGCGGAUUUUUGAGUGAUAUUUGUAGCCUUUUGUUUGGACCGGGCCGCCCGCAGAAUCCUUUAGCUCUCUGUGUUUAUUAACCUAACUUUAUUAGUUAGCUGAUAAAACUAGAUUAUUAUUAUUAUUUAUUAGCUGUAAUUUGGAGGUUUGGGCAGUCAUGUCGUGCUCUGCUCUGGGCUGCGUUAACAGAUACUCUGCGGAGAGUAAUCUGCAGUUUUUCCGUUUUCCGUUUGGUGAGCAGGAUACACGCAGACUGAUGCAGUGGGUGGCGAAUAUGAGACGUGAGGACUGGAAGCCCACCAAGUUCUCUCGUCUCUGUAGUCUUCACUUCGAGGAGCACCAUUUCACCACAAACUCUAGGGUAAGACAUAAUAAGGUUUCCUGCUGAUGGUAAUUGUCACUGGUGUCACUAUUAAAUCUGUGUAUUAUGGGGGUGGAAGGGGGUGUGCCAUAUCGUAUUGUACACAAUUAUAUCGCCAAAUAAUCUGACAGAAUUAAAGAAGCACUAAACCCUAAACCAGGGGUCGGCAAUUACGUUUGGCCAGAUAUUUUUCAAGCCAUUACGUGGCCACAAAAAAUGUGUAAUGAGUUGGAGUGUUACAGACUAGUAGCUCUCCAGCCCAUUGGGCUGUUAAACCCAAUUGCAGAACAGUUAAUCUCAAAGCAGGUAAACCCAAGAAGAAAGGAAACAAAUUGAACGAUUGAACGGAUUGAGCCCGUGUCAUCAGGGUCACGGUCCAAUACACUAUUGCUGCCCCGGGUAGUGAAUUGGGACACGGCCGGGAAAAAAACGCCCUUAUAACAAGACAGGGAGCUCAAAAACAGGCGGAAAAACAAGAACGGGUGGAAACUAAAGUCACGCCAAGCGCGACAUAAAGAGACAAGGGAGGUAUUGUAAACAAAAGCUCACCAGAGAAGCAUUUUAAUUUUCA
rnacentral:lncRNA from 1 species